UGCCCUGCUGUGGACACUAUUUUAAGCACAGCUCUUUACAUAUAUACAAGCAUGUUGAUGAGGACAAAAUCGAAAAUAAUUCAAUUACAGAUUAACCGUUUAUCACUCAAACCUCACAAACAAUAGCAUCUAGCUGUCUUUUCCAUACGCAACAAGAUUUGGAAAAGAUGAGGUCAAACAGACCCUUUGAAUUUGAAUUAUCCUGCCCACAAGGCCUUUCACCAGACAUGAUAGCAUAAGCUAAUGGGCUUCGCCCACCAGCUAAAAACUAAACAAUAUCAUUCAAAUAAAAGAUAAAAUCAAAAUUUUCCAAGUUCCAUUUACUUUCAAGAGUUUCACACAUCAUGUAUCAGUACAUUCUGUCAACUUCACUUCCUUUCUUUGCAUCAUUUGAUUCUAUAUCUCCCACUAAAAUCUGGAGCUUUCAUGCGUUAUGACAAGUUUCAAUAUAUGAGCAUACAGUAAGGUACAUGUAUUAGUAGAAUGUGCAAAAGAUGUUUCAGUUAAACUUAUCGACCCUGCUUACUGCACAUGUCUGCUUCUUAAACUUACAUUAUACUUAUAUAUGUAUAUGCACUGAGCAGAAUUCAAAUUUUGAAUGUAACCAUUUUUACACCCAAGUAUUUCUCUCUUUAAAAUCUGUACAAUUCAUUUACAAUUCAAAGGACAGAGGCUUAGUCCUCAGAAACAUUACUGUUGGUUAAUUAUGACGUGUCAAGGGGCCCUGUCCUCAAAAAGAGGGUAAUAUUACAGUAGGUUAAUUAUGACGUGUCAAGGGGCCCUGUCCUCAAAAAGAGGGUAAUAUUACAGUAGGUUAAUUAUGAC